GACGAACGCUGGCGGCGUGCUUAACACAUGCAAGUCGAACGGAAAGGCCCGGCUUUUGCUGGUUGCUCGAGUGGCGAACGGGUGAGUAACACGUGUGUAACCUGUCCUUGACUUUGUGAUAACUUCAGGAAACUGGGGCUAAUACCCGAUAGGAUCUCCUGCUGCAUGGUGGGGGUUGGUAAGUUUCGGCUGUUGGGGAUGGACUCGCGGGUUAUCAGCUUGUUGGUGGGGUAGUGGCUGACCAAGGCUUUGACGGGUAGCCUGCCUGGGAGGGUGACCGGCCACCUUGGGACUGAGAUACGGACCAGACUCCAACGGGACGCAGCAGUGGGGAGUAUUACAGAGUGGGCGGAAGCCUGAUGCAACAACGCCGCGUGCGUGAUGAUGUGCUUCGGGUUGUAAACCACUUUGGCAUGUGACGAGGCGUGAGUGACGGUAAUUGGUAAAGAAGCCCCGGCUAACUACGUG
rnacentral:rRNA from 1 species